UAUAUAUAUAUAUAUAUAUAUAUAUAUAUAUAUAAUCGAUAAUUUAUAACAAUAUAUAAUAGGAAUACACAAAUUUGAUAUGGUUUUUUUUUCUUUCCUUUUUACCCCUACCAUUUAAUGACUAAACGACUAUCACACUCAACAAACUACUAUAAAACUCCUCAAUUGAACACUUAAAACAAUAAAAAUAAUACACGUUAGAAAAGAAAAUAUAACCGCAAAACCGAG
rnacentral:lncRNA from 1 species